GGUUUUAUAGUGUAGUGGUUAGCACAUCUGCUUUAUGCAUAGUAGGUCCUGGGUUCAUGUCCCAGUGGAGCCA
rnacentral:tRNA from 1 species